UGGGGAAUAUUGCACAAUGGGCGCAAGCCUGAUGCAGCCAUGCCGCGUGUAUGAAGAAGGCCUUCGGGUUGUAAAGUACUUUCAGCGGGGAGGAAGGGAGUAAAGUUAAUACCUUUGCUCAUUGACGUUACCCGCAGAAGAAGCACCGGCUAACUCCGUGCCAGCAGCCGCGGUAAUACGGAGGGUGCAAGCGUUAAUCGGAAUUACUGGGCGUAAAGCGCACGCAGGCGGUUUGUUAAGUCAGAUGUGAAAUCCCGGGCUCAACCUGGGAACUGCAUCUGAUACUGGCAAGCUUGAGUCUCGUAGAGGGGGGUAGAAUUCCAGGUGUAGCGGUGAAAUGCGUAGAGAUGUGGAGGAAUACCGGUGGCGAAGGCGGCCCCCUGGACAAAGACUGACGCUCAGGUGCGAAAGCGUGGGGAGCAAACAGG
rnacentral:rRNA from 1 species